CCAAUAGCGUAUAUUAAAGUUGUUGCAGUUAAAAAGCUCGUAGUUGAAUUUCGGGGUCAGCAAGUUGGUCGUGCCACCGGUAUGUACUGGCUUUGCUGAUUCCUCCUUCUUGUAGAACCGUAAUGCCAUUCAGUUGGUGUUGCGGGGAAACAGGACUGUUACUUUGAAAAAAUUAGAGUGUUUAAAGCAGGCUAACGCUUGAAUACAUUAGCAUGGAAUAAUGAAAUAGGACGAGCGAUCCUAUUUUGUUGGUUUCUAGGAUUGACGUAAUGAUUAAUAGGGAUAGUUGGGGGCAUUAGUAUUCAAUUGUCAGAGGUGAAAUUCUUGGAUUUAUUGAAGACUGACUACUGCGAAAGCAUUUGCCAAGGAUGUUUUCAUUAAUCAAGAACGAAAGUUAGGGGAUCGAAGACGAUCAGAUACCGUCGUAGUCUUAACCAUAAACUAUGCCGACUAGGGAUCGGAUGAUGUUAAUUUUUUAAUGACUCAUUCGGCGCCUUACG
rnacentral:rRNA from 1 species